rnacentral:lncRNA from 1 species
UAAAUGAGAAACACCGUGUACAAAUUAAUUUUCUUGCACAUUUUCCUUGUGCAGAUUUGUGAUCGGUAUGUUGUCUCCUCUGGAGUCGGCAACAGAGAGUCAAUGGAACAGCUGACGAAGCAGGGAGAAGAGGAAGGCCUUGAACGGGAGAGAGGCAGGAAGGUGAAGACCGGCGGCAGUGAAGUCUGAGCGAGGUGGCCCCUGCAGGGGCCCCGGUGAGCGAGGUCGGCAGCCUUGGCCAAGGCAGAGGCACAAGAUGGAGACAAUGAGUUGUCUGCUUAGACUUGGUCACUGAAUAACAGGGCUCAGAGAUUGAUCGGACGGAAAUGAAGGCUGAGCAAGGGAUGCGCUGAAAAUAAGAUUUAACCCCGUGACUGCUCACCAAAGUGAGAAAGAUUAUAUGCUAGAAUGGUACAUGGAGCGGGUUCCAUGGUCCGCAUAGCUGACUGCCGCAGAGAUGCCUCCAGAGCGAGCUGUGUGCCUUCAAUGCCAUUGUUGGGCAGAUGAGCUGGAGCUAAUCCUUUGCGGGGGUUUUGCAGAUGAAGAAUUUAGGCCUGACAAGAAAGAUCACCAGCCCAAGAUUCUACCACUAGUAAGUGGCAGGACUGGCCCUUGGCCUCCAGAGGUUGGGUGUGCAGUUAUCACACUGUGCCACCUCUACUGUGUGGGAGGUUUGUCGUCAG